rnacentral:lncRNA from 1 species
GGUCACAUAAAUCCGGCGGUGACAUUUGGGCUGUUUUUGGCAAGGAAACUGUCCUUGACAAGGGCUUUGUACUACAUGGUGAUGCAGUGUCUUGGAGCCAUAUGUGGUGCUGGUGUAGUGAAAGGAUUUGAAGGGCGUAAACAGUAUACUUUGUUGGGCGGUGGUGCCAAUAGUGUGAACCCAGGUUACACCAAAGGCGACGGGCUCGGUGCUGAAAUUGUUGGCACUUUUGUUCUUGUCUACACUGUCUUCUCCGCCACUGAUGCCAAACGUAAUGCCAGAGACUCCCAUGUUCCGGUAAGUUGCCUCUCGCUCUUUGAUUUCUUCUGCAAUUCAGUGUCUCUAUGAUAAAUUGUAAAGAAAGAAUCUGAUGAUUGUUGAAAUUUAUGGUCAGAUUUUGGCACCUUUGCCAAUUGGCUUCGCUGUGUUCUUGGUGCACUUGGCAACUAUCCCAAUUACAGGAACUGGUAUCAACCCAGCUCGUAGUCUCGG